rnacentral:misc_RNA from 1 species
UUUCCGUAGGUGAACCUGCGGAAGGAUCAUUACAGAGUUCAUGCUCUCACGGGUAGAUCUCCCACCCUUGAAUAUUUAUACCUUAGUUGCUUUGGCAGGCCGUGGAAACACCAUGGGCUCCGGCUUAUGCGUGCCUGCCAGAGGAAACAAACUCUGUUUUUAGUGAUGUCUGAGUACUAUAUAAUAGUUAAAACUUUCAACAACGGAUCUCUUGGUUCUG